rnacentral:tRNA from 1 species
GCUCAGUCGGUUAAGCGUCUGACUCCUGAUUUCAAUUCAGGUCAUGCUCUCGUGGUUUGUGGGUUCGAGCCCCACGUUGGGCU